rnacentral:rRNA from 1 species
AGGGUUCGAUUCUGGCUCAGGAUGAACGCUGGCGGCGUGCUUAACACAUGCAAGUUGUGCGGUGAUCUCAAGAAGUUUCGGACGGAAAGGGAGAGCAGCAGCGGACGGGUGAGUAAAGCACAAGGACUUGUCCCGAAGAGGGGGACAACUGUGGGAAACCACAGCUAAUACCCCAUAAGCCGAGAGGUGAAAGCAGUAAUGCGCUUUAGGAGAGACUUGUGUCCUAUCAGGUAGUUGGUGAGGUAACGGCUCACCAAGCCGAAGACGGGUAGCCGGACUGAGAGGUUGUACGGCCACAUUGGAACUGAGAGACGGUCCAGACUCCUACGGGAGGCAGCAGUGGGGAAUAUUGGGCAAUGGGGGCAACCCUGACCCAGCGACGCCGCGUGAGGGAAGACAGCCUUCGGGUUGUAAACCUCUGUUGCAGGGGAAGAAGAAAGUGACGGUACCCUGCGAGGAAGCUCCGGCAAACUACGUGCCAGCCGCCGC